AGAAGGAUCUAUUCCUCAUUCAGCCAAUUUCUAAUUCCACUUCAUUAUAUGAAUUUAAUAACAAAAUCAAAUCUAGGCAUUCAAAAGUUUGCAUGAAAUAUGGCACAGACAAAAGUACUCAAUUAAGCACAAAAAGAUCAACUGUAGCGCCAAAUUAACCAUCCAAUCUAUUAAAUGAGAAAACAAAGCAAAUAAUGGCCAAGGCAUUGGGACAUUAUAAAGAAUUUUCAGAAGAGGUAUAUAACUCACCAAGAUAUACCAAACUGUGAACGUUGGCCUUGCUAUAACGUUUAAACACGUUGCUUUUUAUCUCGGCAAAAUUAUUAGAAACUAGCAUAGCAAAGAGUGCAUUAUUAUGUGCAACGAUACAGGUCGACAAAGUAAUGGCCUGAGCUAACAAGACAAAUGAAUGAACAAGUGCUCACAGUUAAGGAACUACAAUGGUUCAAAAAUAAAUAAUUUUUUAUACAGACAAAGCUAGGAAUUGCAUGAUAAGGAUAUUUGAAGUAGCCACUGCUAACAAUUCAUCUGAAAAAAAUCGCCAAAGCCAGAAUUGCAUGUUCUCCGGCGAACUAGUUGCGAGUCCAGCUGCUGAAUUAAAUAGAGCUUGCAUCACAUCACCACCAAAACUUUGAAACAGCUUAUCAAAUAUCUGUAACCCAAAGGGCAUAAAUUAGCUUAUAUACCUAAAACGAUGUUACAAGCGCAGAAAUUUAUAGAUCUGAGGACAUGUUAAAGAGAACAAAAAGUUAAAAACUAAAAGUAUAUUAGAGUAUCACACUCACAUAGUCGAACACAUAAUGUAUGACCAGCCAUCAGUCUACUAAGUAAAAAUACAACUGAAAAACAACAGAGAAAUUUUCUUGAACUCUAUGUGAGUGCUGACAUGGGAGAAGACGAAAAUUGUUGCUCUCAAGUAACUUAACAUGUGAUUAAUGUUUCUUUUAGGAUUUCCCAUAUUUUUUGCAGUUGCACCUUUCAAAUGCAUAAUCAUUUUUCAACUAUAUUAACCAUCCAGAUAUUUUCUUUAUCUUUUUCUCCAUUACCCAAAAAUUUCAAAAGAAAAUUGUUCUCCAAUAAUUUAUAGAAGAUUUCAAAGCUUUGAAGACUAAUUAUAAACAUGAAUUGAACUAUAAAAAAGUUUAUUUAUUACUAAAUGUAAUCAAGAGAAGAAUUAAUGAUGAAGAUAAAUCAGGCUAUUUGAUUACUUGACUUAUAACAUAUAUUUGCUUAUAUUAACAAAUAGCACGCUAAAAGGAGAUCAAGAAAAAGAAAAAAGUCCAUAAUAAUAAUAUUAAAAGGGGUAGUCCUUAAAUAUUUUCCCAAAUGUAUUCAAUUUUAUCUCUCUUUAGUAAUCCCUCUCCUUUCUCCCUCUAUAUGCGUGGGCUUAUGAUGAGUCAAUGUGCAUUUAUAAUGUAAUGUAUGUUCAAAGGUUUUGCACAAAGAGAAAAAAUUAACUCUUAUAUCCCAAUGUUUUUUCGAAAUCUCAAAUCCUAGUUUUAAAUUCAGAAUAACAAAGGAAAUAGUUAAAACAAUAUUUAUUUAUUAUGAUAAUUACCUCCUUUCUUUUUAUGUAUGUAUCGGUAUAUUUUCUGUAACUAAUUCAUUCCAGCACUUUAAUAACAUAUAUUUUUGUAAAAAUAAAAUAAAAAUUAGUGUAAAAGUACUCCUUUUUGUCAUUGUAUAAUUAAUGAUUUUUCAUUAAUAAGGUAGUUGACAAAAGUUAUAUUUUCAUCAUAUUUGCAGAUUGGGUUUUUUUAUUUUGUUCCAGUCUAUGGUUGGUUUAACUCAAUAGAGUUAGCAAAUUAGCUAGUGAGAUGGGAUUUCAACAGACACGGACAGGGGCGGAGGCACACCUGGGCAAGGGCAAUCAGUGGACCACACAAAAAUUUCUGGUUUCCAUCUUUUUUUUUUUUUUUUUUUUUUUUUUUAACCAAAAAAGGGACUAAUCCCGUGUGUAAAUGAGAGAGCACAAAGCACUAAUUUGUAUAAGCAAAGGAACAUGAAAAUUGCUUACCUAUGACAAGAAUUGUGCAAUAACAGUUAGUGUAGUACCAAAUGCCACUAAAGUAAGACGCCAUUACUCGAGCCAAGCACACAAGAAAGUAAAGUGAGAAAGGAAUUUCAGAGUUGAGUUUAGAAGCUACUCGAGUUUAGAUAAAAUUCAUAGUGGGAAGGAUUUUAGGAUAUAACAGUAUGGAUUCAGAGCCUUAACAAUUAAGCUGAUUCACUUUUUAAGGCUGUACCUGAUAGGUAAUGACAGAAGGAUCUAUUCCUCAUUCAGCCAAUUUCUAAUUCCACUUCAUUAUAUGAAUUUAAUAACAAAAUCAAAUCUAGGCAUUCAAAAGUUUGCAUGAAAUAUGGCACAGACAAAAGUACUCAAUUAAGCACAAAAAGAUCAACUGUAGCGCCAAAUUAACCAUCCAAUCUAUUAAAUGAGAAAACAAAGCAAAUAAUGGCCAAGGCAUUGGGACAUUAUAAAGAAUUUUCAGAAGAGGUAUAUAACUCACCAAGAUAUACCAAACUGUGAACGUUGGCCUUGCUAUAACGUUUAAACACGUUGCUUUUUAUCUCGGCAAAAUUAUUAGAAACUAGCAUAGCAAAGAGUGCAUUAUUAUGUGCAACGAUACAGGUCGACAAAGUAAUGGCCUGAGCUAACAAGACAAAUGAAUGAACAAGUGCUCACAGUUAAGGAACUACAAUGGUUCAAAAAUAAAUAAUUUUUUAUACAG
rnacentral:lncRNA from 1 species